AGCUGGCGGCGUGCCUAUACAUGCAAGUCGAACGAAACUUCUUUAUCACCGAAGUGCUUGCACUCACCGAUAAAGAGUUGAGUGGCGAACGGGUGAGUAACACGUGGGCAACCUGCCCAAAAGAGGGGGAUAACACUUGGAAACAGGUGCUAAUACCGCAUAACCAUAGUUACCGCAUGGUAACUAUGUAAAAGGUGGCUAUGCUACCGCUUUUGGAUGGGCCCGCGGCGCAUUAGCUAGUUGGUGAGGUAAAGGCUUACCAAGGCAAUGAUGCGUAGCCGAACUGAGAGGUUGAUCGGCCACAUUGGGACUGAGACACGGCCCAAACUCCUACGGGAGGCAGCAGUAGGGAAUCUUCCACAAUGGGCGAAAGCCUGAUGGAGCAACGCCGCGUGGGUGAAGAAGGUCUUCGGAUCGUAAAACCCUGUUGUUAGAGAAGAAAGUGCGUGAGAGUAACUGUUCACGUUUCGACGGUAUCUAACCAGAAAGCCACGGCUAACUACGUGCCAGCAGCCGCGGUAAUACGUAGGUGGCAAGCGUUAUCCGGAUUUAUUGGGCGUAAAGGGAACGCAGGCGGUCUUUUAAGUCUGAUGUGAAAGCCUUCGGCUUAACCGGAGUAGUGCAUUGGAAACUGGGAGACUUGAGUGCAGAAGAGGAGAGUGGAACUCCAUGUGUAGCGGUGAAAUGCGUAGAUAUAUGGAAGAACACCAGUGGCGAAAGCGGCUCUCUGGUCUGUAACUGACGCUGAGGUUCGAAAGCGUGGGUAGCAAACAGGAUUAGAUACCCUGGUAGUCCACGCCGUAAACGAUGAAUGCUAAGUGUUGGAGGGUUUCCGCCCUUCAGUGCUGCAGCUAACGCAAUAAGCAUUCCGCCUGGGGAGUACGACCGCAAGGUUGAAACUCAAAGGAAUUGACGGGGGCCCGCACAGCGGUGGAGCAUGUGGUUUAAUUCGAAGCACCGCGAAGAACCUUACAGGUCUUGACAUCUUCUGACAUCCUAGAGAUAGGACUUUCCUUCGGGACAAAUGAC
rnacentral:rRNA from 2 species